GCCUAACACAUGCAAGUCAACUUGGACUGAAGGAGCAAUCUGACAGUAGAGUGGCGCAAGGGUGCGUAACGCGUAAGUAACUUGCCCAAGGUAAGGAAUAACGUCGAGAAAUCGGCGCUAAUACCUCAUAAUGCAGCGGAUCCGCAUGGAUAUGUUGUUAAAGGUUUACCGCCUUGGGAUAGGCUUGCGUCUGAUUAGCUAGUUGGUGUGGUAACGGCACACCAAGGCUACGAUCAGUAACUGGUCUGAGAGGAUGAUCAGUCACACUGGAACUGAGACACGGUCCAGACUCCUACGGGAGGCAGCAGUGAGGAAUAUUGGGCAAUGCUCGAAAGAGUGACCCAGCAACGCCGCGUGGAGGAUGAAGGUAUUCUAUAUCGUAAACUCCUGUGAGAGCAGACGAAAGACAGAUUAUUAAUCUGGAUGACUGUAUGCUCAGAGGAAGCCCCGGCUAACUACGUG
rnacentral:rRNA from 1 species